GCGUCCAUAGUACAAUGGCUAGUAUAAGAGAUUUCCAAUCUUUUGAUGUCGGUUCGAUCCCGACUGGACGCU
rnacentral:tRNA from 1 species